rnacentral:rRNA from 1 species
UGAUGGGGAUAACAGUUGGAAACGACUGCUAAUACCGAAUACGCUCAUGAUGAACUUUAUGAGGAAAGGUGGCCUCUGCUUGCAAGCUAUCGCAUAGAAAUGAGUCCGCGUCCCAUUAGCUAGUUGGUGGGGUAACGGCCUACCAAGGCAACGAUGGGUAGCCGAUCUGAGAGGAUGAUCGGCCACACUGGAACUGAAACACGGUCCAG